rnacentral:lncRNA from 1 species
CACAUAACUUGCAAAAGAUUAAAGAACCAAACUCAUAAGUCCGGUUACAUUUAUUUUUAUAAUCUGAACAUGGUUAUAGCUCCAUUCUUAUUGAUACUGUCUCUUUGUUUGAUCCAUUGCAAGCUACAGAUGUCAUCUUCAGUCACCUGAAAUUAAAAGUUACAGUGAAUACCAAUUGUUGAACUAUGCCAAGCGCAUCUCUGAAAAUAGUCAAAUACAUAUACAAAAGUUCAAAAUAUUUAACUCUCUGCAUGGUCCAAAACCAAAAGCUUUAGAGGUAUAAUGUCUUAUUUGGUAUUAAGGUACUGUAACUUAAAAAUUGCAAUGAAAUAAAUAUUAAUACUAUGUGGUAAGUAUGAUUUUACAUAAUAAUUUCGACAAAAAUACUAAAGAUAUUAUCACUAGCUUUUAUCAUAUAAAAUUAGCUUGUCUUGUAAACUAAAACUGACAGUAUUUAACAAAUUCUUCAGUCUCUCCAAGUACAAUAAUAAAUUAAUCUCAGCUAGAAUAGCAGAAACUCUCAGAUCGAUACCCAAGGCAAAUCGAUGACUUGCAUAUGCAAUGAAAACAAUUACAAUCGAAAACCCAAUUUCAGCAAAGGUAUGGGCUUCGCUGAAAUUUGCUCUAAUUCUAUGAUAAAUUUACGUUUUGGCCCCUAAGGUCUAAGUUUCUAAUGUUCUUAGAUCCUUAAGUUUGUUGUUUCCCCAUUAUAAAACCCCAUAAUGUAAAAAGGAAAAAAAUGGUCGUACGGUACCACAAGCUAAGCGGUUGAGGAGUGAGACUGAGCAACAGGAUUGAAUUCUUUCAACUCCUUGAAUUGCAUCCAAGGCUUCUCCCAGACCUUAGCUUCAAAAAGUUUCUUCUGACCUCCUUCAACAGCCUCCAAGGUGAUGUCGUACAGAGUCCCUGAAACCACUUGCUGCUUCGCACUUACAAC